GCAGGGUUACAGCAGCGGACGGCAGAGCUGGAGCGGAAGUUGGACACAGUGGUGUUGGCGAUGGGAGGGCUCGGACUGCUGAGUGAACACAGUGGCCAAACCCCACACUCUGAGGUUAAAGUUGCAGGUUUGUGCAGUCUGUCUGUGUAUAUUCUGUCCAGAGGAAUUUGGUAAAUGGUGAACAUGGUUUAUAUUAUAUUAUACAGGCUGUCAGUCUGCGACGGGUGCUGAGCGAGUACCUGUUUCCUCUGCUGUCCUCCUCUCACCACCUCAACAGCGGGACCACUUUCAGCAUGUUCCUGGUAACUUUCUCACUUCCAAAAUUAUUAUCUGAUUUCAAAUAUUCACCCCAGAAAUGAUUCACCUUGAGGCGGCUAACUUUUGUUUCUCGUUCUUCCACAGCAACUUAUCCUGCGCCACCGCACCAGCAGCUUCCUGCUGUCGAUCUCCUGCACUCCUAUGGGACCUCCGCGCUCACAGCUCAGACUCUAGUCUCAACAGUCUGCCCCUAGUUCAGCUUCCCUCUGCUUCCUCGCUAUCGCUGACCCCUGACCCUCUUCGCUCACAGAGGUCUCCGGGCACAGUGCUAGCUGAGAUUGCUCAGCUGAGCAGAGAGACCGAUCUUAUCAGGGCUCAACUCAGCCAGGCAAAGGGCCUCGGGUCAGGGGUCAGAGAAUCGCUCGACAGUGGCAAUGAGAGAAGAGGGUUGAGCUGCAGCAGCACCGGGAGAGUAACACCUCAGAGCGCUGCAGAGAGCAGGAUGUCUGGGUCCAGCUGUAAAGAGAGGUGUAGCCAGCAUGUGUGGACUCCUGAAGAACAACAGCUGACUCAACAGGCAACAUCACUCAACACUUUCAGUGCAAACAGUGUGGAGCAAUGCCUCCUGGAGCUGAACAGGCAGAGCGCUGCAGCCCGAGGUCGACUACUGGAAAUAAUCGAGCAACAGAAGCAAAGUGUUUCAGCCAGAGUCUCACCCUCUGUCUCCCUGAUCCCAGCUUCUGCCUUCAGCCCGAAUCCAGAAUCCAGUGGGUAA
rnacentral:lncRNA from 1 species